UGAUUUUCUAACAAAAAUAUUACUAGUUUAAUUUUUUCCAAUAUUCUGCUUUUGAGAACUGGAGAAGACAGGAACGGCGUUUGAUUUGGAAUUGCGUGAAUUUCUAUCUUUCGAGUUUGUUUUGUAUUUAUAAUUUUUUGGGUUCUGGAAAAUGGAGGGACGAGCUGUACAACAUCAAUUUGAUGCCUUCAGAGUUCUUUCUCAAGUUCAUGAAAGAACUGGAAGGUUUUCGUGUUGGCAUCAAUAUCAUUUAUUUGGGAUUAUGCGUUUCUUCUGGUUUGUGCUUUGAAUGUGGAGUGAGUUUAUCAAUUCUACUGAGUUUGAACUAACCUCAAUGGCUCCAAAUGGUCUUUGCCAUGAUAGUUAUGACUUAUGAUGAUUUUUAUGAAUAUAAGAUUUAGAGAUUCUAUUUUCUCCUCUCCUGAGGUUGAACCUCAAGGGUUCCAAAUGCUCUCUGCCAUGAUAGUUAAACAGGCCCAAGUUUAUACAUAUACCUCACAUUAAAUACAGGGAAAAGACCUGGUGGCUGCUACUGGAAGUCUUGGACCUCUCAUCCCGAUUGAGGGUAUCAUAAAUUUAUUGCACUCCCUUCUCACUUCUUGGAAAGGGCUGAUUUUUAUUUUUAUUUUUUAAUUUUUUUUUAUUAUAAUGCUUGACAUACUCAUUGAAUCUGAUAAGCAACUUGGAAGCGUUGCUUCAACUCUCAACUCUCACUCCAACCCAACAAUCAGGGAUCAAAUUUUGUUUCCGUCAUAACCCUCAAGGCGACUCAUCCCCACUACCUAGUACCUACAUGUUGCAAGAGAGGCAUAUAAAAUUUCUAUGCUGGUAAAUCCAAAUCAUUUACCAGUCUAUCAGAUGCAGCUUCUUCUCCUUGAAGGACAUUGUCAAACCAGGGAACAUGUACACAAGGAAACUCAAAAACAUGCUUAUAAUAAUUUCUUAGACAGGGAUCAAAGUUUUGUUAAUAAAAGUAACAAUGGUGGUAUGCACAAGUUACCUACCAUCUCUAGAAGCUUGUUGGCUCUUUGCUGCAACAAUGAGCUGCUUAAGAACAACAAUAGCACUGAAUCGUUCAACUGUACUCAAUCAUCACCUCAUUUCUCUCUUCCUCCUCGGCCACAGAGAUCUAGUAAUGAGUCUUUAUCGCAUCCUGAACAGAAGUUCUCUUCAUGCUGUUCUUUCUCCCUGUAUGAUCUGUGGAAGGUGCUGCUGCGUCUGCAAUUCCUAGCAUAAAGAACUUGAGAACAUAUAUUAAGUGUUGCUUGAUUUUCAUAGUCACCCUAUGAAAUUAAGUCAAAUAGAUGUUUAUGGAGGGAGGAGACUUGGCGUCUGCUGCUGGAAGUUUUGGACCUCUCAAUGUAAUGUCCCAAUGCUAGGUAUAACAUCUCUCUGGAUAAUUUGCCAUGGAUUCUAAGCCUAUUGAUAUUGCAAAGGAGAUAACUAGGGUUUUAUAUGACGUUGACAAAAACAUAUACUCAAUCCUAGUUUAUGAGAUUGGACAUGAUCCCAUGAAGGCUCUGCAGAUUAUUUCGUUUUGGAUUUGGUUGGAACAAAUAGGUUUCAAUGUGAUGCGGGCAUUUCUGUUGUUGCCUAGAAACAUGAUAAAUGGACUUGCUGAAGAUGCCGUGGCAUGCCUUGAAUGCAUCAGCCACACCCAAUUUCUGCUCUCUCCCGUUGCAAGAGAGAUUGUACUUACUCAACGUGUGUUGGGAAAAGGGUUGUCCCUGCAGUACAUCCAUGAAAACCGGGAGCAAGCAAUGUGUGGGGUCGGGAAGAUCUUCAGUGAAAUUUAUGCCAAGGCAUCGACAGAUAUGAUGGCGAUGCCGCCACCUAACAGAAACAGUGAGCAGCGAAGGCAAAACGAGAUGGUGCUGCCACCACAAACUGAAGUGGAGCUGAUGGAUCAAUUUGGACAAUUGGGACUUGGAGGGCAGUCGUCACAACGCAACGAGGUACCAUUUGAGAACACCAACACCCACCCCCCUGAGUCCUGAGAAAUAUAUUGUUCUUUCCAGUUUCCUAGUCUUAUAGUGUUGUAGUCCACUUGUGGACAUUUAGGUGUGUGUGUGUGUGUUUUUUUUUGUUAAGUUUAGUGUUUAAUAAUCAUGGAAUACAAAUAUGCCUUUUAAUUAGUCACAAAAGUAGCUAUUUUUGUCCUUAUAAACAAGAGAACCACUUGUGAAAUGUCUCUAAAUGAUGAAAAUAGUUAUUUUUGUGACUAAUUAAAGGUCAAAUGUACAACUCAUGAUAUUUAGAGAAUAAAUUAGCAUUUACACUAUGACAAAGGGACCAGAAAGUUGUAUUAUAGUUACAAACGUGUUUUACGUAAAUUGAGAUUACGUAAUAUUGAA